rnacentral:rRNA from 1 species
ACUCCUACGGGAGGCAGCAGUGGGGAAUAUUGCACAAUGGGCGGAAGCCUGAUGCAGCAACGCCGCGUGCGGGAUGACGGCCUUCGGUUGUGAAAUCCGGUCACUUUACGCCUGUGACGAAGCGUGAGUGACGGUAAUGGGUAAAGAAGCACCGGCUAACUACGUGCCAGCAGCCGCGGUGAUACGUAGGGUGCGAGCGUUGUCCGGAUUUAUUGGGCGUAAAGGGCUCGUAGGUGGUUGAUCGCGUCGGAAGUGUAAAUCUUGGGGCUUAA